AUUGAACGCUGGCGGCAGGCUUAACACAUGCAAGUCGAGCGAGCGGCGGACGGGUGAGUAAUGUCUGGGAAACUGCCUGAUGGAGGGGGAUAACUACUGGAAACGGUAGCUAAUACCGCAUACCAUCGGUUGCGCCCAGAUGGGAUUAGCUAGUAGGUGGGGAAAAGGCUCACCUAGGCAUCAAUCCCUAGCUGGUCUGAGAGGAUGACAGGACACACUGGAACUGAGACACGGUCCAGACUCCUACGGGAGGAAGCAGUGGGGAAUAUUGGACAAUGGGCGCAAGCCUGAUGCAGCCAUGCCGCGUGUAUGAAGAAGGACUUCGGGUUGUAAAGUACUUUCAGCGGGGAGGCGUUACCCGCAGAAAAAGCACGGGCGAACUCCGUGCCAGCAGCCGCGGUAAUUC
rnacentral:rRNA from 1 species